GAUGAACGUUAGCGGUGUGCCUAAUGCAUGCAAGUCGAACGAGAAGCUUUGGAUUCGUCUGAAGUGGAAAGUGGCGGACGGGUGAGUAACACGUGGGUGACGUACCCCAGAGAGAGGGACAACCAUUGGAAACGAUGGCUAAUACCUCAGAUGUUAUACUGUUUAGAAAGGUAUGACUAAACGCUCCGGUGCUCUGGGAGUGGCCUGCGGUCCAUCAGCUAGUUGGUAAGGUAAUGGCUUACCAAGGCAAAGACGGAUAGGGGGCGUGAGAGCGCGAUCCCCCACACUGGUACUGAGACACGGACCAGAUACCUGCGGGUAGCAGCAGCAAGGAAUAUUGCGCAAUGGGCGAAAGCCUGACGCAGCAACACCGCGUGGAGGAUGAAUGUCUUCGGAUUGUAAACUCCUUUUCUGGGGGAAGAGAUAGGACGGUACCCCAGGAAUAAGUCUCGGCUAACUACG
rnacentral:rRNA from 1 species